GCCAAAAAUAAUCUGUGGAUUUGUUUUAGAUGAGUCUAUCUACUAUAGCUGUUAAGAGUGCAGGCUCAAAAGAAAACAUAAAAACAAACAAAAACAAAGAAAAAAGAAAAGAAAAGAAAAAAAGAAAGAAAGAGUGCAGGCUCAGACCGAGCAUGGUGGCUCACACCUGUAGUCCCAGCUACUUGGGUGGCUGAAGCAGGAGAAUCACUUGAACCCAGGAGGUAGAGGUCGCAGUGAGCUAAGAUUGCACCACUGCACUCCAGCCUGAAGGGCAGAGCAAGGCUUUGUCUAAAAAAAAAAUGCAGGCUCUGAACACAGAUCAGCUUCCAAUCCAAGCUUCAUUUCUAUAUUCACUAGCUGGAAGCUCAGUCUAGUUACCAGUAACCUCUGUAAUCAUCUACUGCUACCUGCAAAAUGAGGUUUAUGUUUACAGUUAUCUUGUGGGUCUGCCAGGAGGAUAAACUGAGGUGCCACAGGGAAACUGUCUAGUACCAUGUAGUAAGCAUCUGCUAUGGAUUGAAUAUGUACCCUAAAGUCCAUAUGUUAGAAACUUUAUCACUGAUGCAACAGUAUAAAGAGGAAGAAGCUUUAAGAGGUGAUUAGGUCAUGACAGCUCUGCUGUCAUAAAAGGAUUAUGUGGUUAUCUGAGGAGGGGGUUAGUUAUCCCAGGAGUGGGUUCCUCAUAAAAAGGAUGAGUGUCUCCUGAAUUUCUCUCUCUCUUGUGCUCACCUGCCUUUCUACCAUGUUAUGAUGCAGCACAAAGACCCUCUCCAGCUGCUGGUACUAUGCUCUUGGACUUCCCAGUCUCCAGAACUUCUUAUUAUUUGGAGCAUUCUCAAAUUGUUUGCCAAAACCGGUGACAUAACUGGCUCCCUCCGACAGAACCUGCCAAACCUGCAGAGAUUCCCACAGUGGCCAGCUCCUUCUGUCUCAAGGCUUCGGAGGAGCACCAGCUUCUGUGAUGGAAGAGCCUUGUUAUAGAAGGGAGUGAAGCAGCUGUGAGCGAGAAGGUCAUUUGGUCUCACUUCUUAUCUAUAGCAGACUAGUACCUUGAUAUGUGAGUAGAGGGUAAUCUUUAUCAAAUGCAAAAAAUGGCUUUAUUGUUUUAUUAAAAAUUAUAAUGUUCACUGAAAAAUGUCCUACAAAUACAAUAAAUAACAAAGAAGAAAGUAAAACACACAAAAAAAGCACUCCCCCCACAAUUUCACUGUAUCUGUGCAGGGUUCU
rnacentral:lncRNA from 1 species